CCUGCGGAAGGAUCAUUACCGAGUGUAGGGUUCCUAGCGAGCCCAACCUCCCACCCGUGUUUACUGUAACCUUAGUUGCUUCGGCGGGCCCGCCUUUAAGGCCGCCGGGGGGCAUCAGCCCCCGGGCCCGCGCCCGCCGGAGACACCACGAACUCUGUCUGAUCUAGUGAAGUCUGAGUUGAUUGUAUCGCAAUCAGUUAAAACUUUCAACAAUGGAUCUCUUGGUUCCGGCAUCGAUGAAGAACGCAGCGAAAUGCGAUAACUAGUGUGAAUUGCAGAAUUCCGUGAAUCAUCGAGUCUUUGAACGCACAUUGCGCCCCCUGGUAUUCCGGGGGGCAUGCCUGUCCGAGCGUCAUUGCUGCCCAUCAAGCACGGCUUGUGUGUUGGGUCGUCGUCCCCUCUUCGGGGGGGACGGGCCCCAAAGGCAGCGGCGGCACCGCGUCCGAUCCUCGAGCGUAUGGGGCUUUGUCACCCGCUCUGUAGGCCCGGCCGGCGCUUGCCGAACGCAAAACAACCAUUCUUUCCAGGUUGACCUCGGAUCAGGUAGGGAUACCCGCUGAACUUAAGCAUAUCA
rnacentral:rRNA from 1 species